rnacentral:rRNA from 1 species
CCUACGGGGGGCUGCAGUGAGGAAUAUUGGUCAAUGGGCGCGAGCCUGAACCAGCCAAGUCGCGUGAGGGAAGACGGUCCUAUGGAUUGUAAACCUCUUUUGUCGGGGAGCAAAAGACGCCACGCGUGGCGUUCCGAGAGUACCCGAAGAAAAAGCAUCGGCUAACUCCGUGCCAGCAGCCGCGGUAAUACGGAGGAUGCGAGCGUUAUCCGGAUUUAUUGGGUUUAAAGGGUGCGCAGGCGGAAGAUCAAGUCAGCGGUAAAAUUGAGAGGCUCAACCUCUUCGAGCCGUUGAAACUGGUUUGCUUGAGUGAGCGAGAGGUAUGCGGAAUGCGUGGUGUAGCGGUGAAAUGCAUAGAUAUCAUGCAGAACUCCGAUUGCGAAGGCAGCAUACCGGCGCUCAACUGACGCUCAUGCACGAAAGUGUGGGUAUCGAACAGGAUUAGAUACCCUGGUAGUC